rnacentral:rRNA from 1 species
UACAGAGGGUGCGAGCGUUGUCCGGAAUCACUGGGCGUAAAGGGCGCGUAGGCGGCUUGAUAAGCGUGCGGUGAAAGCCCGGGGCUCAACCCCCGGGUCGGCCGUGCGAACUGUCGAGCUGGAGCACUGUAGAGGCAGGUGGAAUUCCGGGUGUAGCGGUGGAAUGCGUAGAGAUCCGGAAGAACACCGGUGGCGAAGGCGGCCUGCUGGGCAGUGGCUGACGCUGAGGCGCGACAGCGUGGGGAGCAAACAGG